rfam:Dipodomys ordii contig_67993, whole genome shotgun sequence.
GGGAAGGUGGCUCAGUGGUAGAGUGCUUGACUUGCAAGCAUGAGGCCCUGGGUUCGAUUCCUCAGCCCCA